GUCUGCGUGACCUAGUCGGUAGAGUGUCUAGCUUGCAACCGAAGGGUUGUGGGUUUGAAUCCCACCCCUGGCU
rnacentral:tRNA from 1 species